CAGUAAGGGCACAACAACUACCAUGAUACACCUCUUCCUCUUGGACAGUGUAAGAGAAUUCCUCCAGCCAGCAUGAUGUGGUUCUUCAGAAUGUCUGGAAUCACUCUUCAUGAAAAUUCUCAUAUGUGUCAUCCAGCCACAAGGACCUGUUCAUUCAUGGCUGCUUGCAUUUUGACUUUCCCAUUAGAUGGUGAGUAUCUGAGGGCAAGAUUUUUCUUUGGCCCUUCUUUUUUUUACCUCAGUGCUUAAUACAGUGCCUGGACCAUUGUAUGUGCCUACUAAGUGUUUACUGGGUGACUGACUGACUGACCUUCUGUUUAGCCAUUUCUCCCCCAUUUUAUGCCUGUGUGAUUGAUUUUUUAAACCCUUACUUCCUGUCUUAGAAUCAAUAUUAAAGGUUGAUUCUAAGACAGGAGAGUGGUAAGGGCUAGGCAAUUGGGUCAAGUGACUUGCACAGGGUCACAGAGGUAGAAAGUAUCUGAGGUAAGAUUUGAACCCAGGACUUCCUAUCCCUAGAACCACUUCACUGACCU
rnacentral:lncRNA from 1 species